CUGCUACUUGCGUCGGCAGCACAUAUACUAAAAUUGGAACGAUACAGAGAAGAUCAGCAUGGCCCUUGCACAAGAAUGACAUGCAAAUAUCACUGAUAUAUAUAUAUGUU
rnacentral:snRNA from 1 species